rnacentral:rRNA from 1 species
UACGAAGGGUGCAAGCGUUGUUCGGAUUUAUUGGGCGUAAAGCGCGCGCAGGCGGAUUGGUAAGUCAGGUGUGAAAUCUCGGGGCUUAACCCCGAAAUUGCGCCUGAAACUGUCGAUCUAGAAUACUGGAGAGGAAAGGGGAAUUUCUCAUGUAGGGGUAAAAUCCGUAGAGAUGAGAAGGAACACCGGAGGCGAAAGCGCCUUUCUGGACAGUGAUUGACGCUGAGGCGCGAAAGCGUGGGGAGCAAACAGG